rnacentral:rRNA from 1 species
CGGCGUGCUUAACACAUGCAAGUCGAACGGAAAGGCCCUGCUUUUGUGGGGUGCUCGAGUGGCGAACGGGUGAGUAACACGUGAGUAACCUGCCCUUGACUUUGGGAUAACUUCAGGAAACUGGGGCUAAUACCGGAUAGGAGCUCCUGCUGCGUGGUGGGGGUUGGAAAGUUUCGGCGGUUGGGGAUGGACUCGCGGCUUAUCAGCUUGUUGGUGGGGUAGUGGCUUACCAAGGCUUUGACGGGUAGCCGGCCUGAGAGGGUGACCGGCCACAUUGGGACUGAGAUACGGCCCAGACUCCUACGGGAGGCAGCAGUGGGGAAUAUUGCACAAUGGGCGGAAGCCUGAUGCAGCAACGCCGCGUGCGGGAUGACGGCCUUCGGGUUGUAAACCGCUUUCGCCUGUGACGAAGCGUGAGUGACGGUAAUGGGUAAAGAAGCACCGGCUAACUACGUGCCAGCAGCCGCGGUGAUACGUAGGGUGCGAGCGUUGUCCGGAUUUAUUGGGCGUAAAGGGCUCGUAGGUGGUUGAUCGCGUCGGAAGUGUAAUCUUGGGGCUUAACCCUGAGCGUGCUUUCGAUACGGGUUGACUUGAGGAAGGUAGGGGAGAAUGGAAUUCCUGGUGGAGCGGUGGAAUGCGCAGAUAUCAGGAGGAACACCAGUGGCGAAGGCGGUUCUCUGGGCCUUUCCUGACGCUGAGGAGCGAAAGCGUGGGGAGCGAACAGGCUUAGAUACCCUGGUAGUCCACGCUGUAAACGGUGGGUACUAGGUGUGGGGUCCAUUCCACGGGUUCCGUGCCGUAGCUAACGCUUUAAGUACCCCGCCUGGGGAGUACGGCCGCAAGGCUAAAACUCAAAGGAAUUGACGGGGCCCCGCACAAGCGGCGGAGCAUGCGGAUUAAUUCGAUGCAACGCGUAGAACCUUACCUGGGUUUGACAUGGAUCGGGAGUGCUCAGAGAUGGGUGUGCCUCUUUUGGGGUCGGUUCACAGGUGGUGCAUGGCUGUCGUCAGCUCGUGUCGUGAGAUGUUGGGUUAAGUCCCGCAACGAGCGCAACCCUUGUUCACUGUUGCCAGCACGUUAUGGUGGGGACUCAGUGGAGACCGCCGGGGUCAACUCGGAGGAAGGUGGGGAUGACGUCAAGUCAUCAUGCCCCUUAUGUCCAGGGCUUCACGCAUGCUACAAUGGCUGGUACAGAGAGUGGCGAGCCUGUGAGGGUGAGCGAAUCUCGGAAAGCCGGUCUCAGUUCGGAUUGGGGUCUGCAACUCGACCUCAUGAAGUCGGAGUCGCUAGUAAUCGCAGAUCAGCAACGCUGCGGUGAAUACGUUCCCGGGGCUUGUACACACCGCCCGUCAAGUCAUGAAAGUUGGUAACACCCGAAGCCGGUGGCCUAACCGUUGUGGGGGAGCCGUCGAGGGUGGGACUGGUGAUUAGGACUAAGUC